rnacentral:rRNA from 1 species
CGAGAUAGGCACGACUCACUCCAUCGGGGGGUUAUUCCCUUG